AAGUCAAGCAGCACCAAAACCCCAUAUGUCCCAAAUCCUUGGCAACAGCUGCUAGGAGAUCCAGCUCAUUCUACAUCAUAUGUCAUUCUAGAACUGAAGAUGUUCCCCCAGAGGAUGCUCAUCCUGUAAUAUGGAGCCCAGAAAGAAGGAGCUUGUAAAGUGAACUGCCAUCACUACCAUAGGCACUUUGGAUAAAACCUAAGUGACCUGAGCAUGGAGACCUGACCACCCCUACGACUCACUAUUGAUACUUGUCAUGGUCCAUCCGUCAGAGUGACUAAAGCACCAGUCAGAUCCACCCCAUCUGUACUACAACUCUCCAAAAGGAAGAACUGGGAGAAAGAACCAACAAGGAUGACACCACAAGGGUGUCAGGGGUGGACAAUCGAAGCCUUUGCUGGGGAUGCAACUUCAUAAUUGAGUCAAACAAACUGCUCAGAAGCCCUCACCAGUCUGCAUGUUCUGUGGUAUUAACCUAUCAUUCCUGGCCCUCUUGUGCACUUGUAUUAUUCCCCAAGGUCACCAUGGAAGGAAAUCCAGAAGCGGCCAGCAUGUGUGCUUUUCCAAAGUCUCUCCAUUAUCAUGAUCAUGGCUGCGGAGAAGAUGAUGGUAAUGAUGAUGAUGAUUGUGCUGCUGCUGCU